AGUUAGUAAUAGUAGACCCGAAACCGUAGUGAUCUAUCCAUGGCCAGGUUGAAGCACAGGUAAAAUUGUGUGGAGGACCGAACUCGUGAGCGUUGAAAAGCUUUGGGAUGAGUUGUGGAUAGGGGUGAAAUGCCAAUCGAACACGGAGAUAGCUGGUUCUCCCCGAAAUAGCUUUAGGGCUAGCCUCGAGGUUGAGAGUAUAGGCGGUAGAGCACUGAUCGGGCUAGGGGCCAUACCGGUUACCGAACCUAGUCAAACUACGAAUGGCUAUACUUAUACUCGGGAGUCAGACAGUGAAUGAUAAGGUCCAUUGUCAAGAGGGAAACAGCCCAGAACACCGACUAAGGUCCCAAAUGUUACACUAAGUGGCGAAGGAUGUGGAAUUUCCAAAACAACCAGGAUGUUGGCUUAGAAGCAGCCACCAUUUAAAGAGUGCGUAAUAGCUCACUGGUCGAGAGACUCUGCGCCGAAAAUGUCCGGGGCUAAAGUGUAAAACCGAAGUCGUGUCAUAUGCAGCAAUGUAUAUGGGUAGGGGAGCGUUCUCAUCGGGCUGAAGCAGUACCGUAAGGAGUUGUGGACUGAUGAGAAGUGAGAAUGUCGGUAUGAGUAGCGAAAAGAAUGGUGAGAAUCCAUUCCACCGAAAGCCUAAGGGUUCCUGAGCAACGAUCGUCGUCUCAGGGUAAGUCGGGACCUAAGCCGAGGCGGAAAAGCGUAGGCGAUGGACAACAGGUUGAAAUUCCUGUACCGGUGUGAAUCGUUUGAUCGAUGGAGUGACACAGUAAGGUAGGUCAGCACGCGAUUGGAAGUGCGUGUUUAAGCAUGUAGGUUGAGCUAUAGGCAAAUCCGUAGCUCUGAAAGCUGAGAUGUGAUGACGAGUUACUAGCGAUAGUAACGAAGUGAUUGAUCCUACACUGUCGAGAAAAGCUUCUAGGUAGAGACACAUCGCCCGUACCAAAACCGACACAGGUAGGCGGGGAGAGAAUCCUAAGGUGCGCGGGAAAACCCUCGUUAAGGAACUCGGCAAAAUGCCUCCGUAACUUCGGGAAAAGGAGGACUCAUGUAGUGUGAAG
rnacentral:rRNA from 1 species